rnacentral:lncRNA from 1 species
UACUCUUUGUCCCAUCUGAACCUGUAAUAUGGCACACUGCCUACAGUGUGCCCUCGAGGUAGGUACUAGGCUACUAGCAGCGCGUAUUAGUAGACGUAGUUCUUGACGAACAUUCCCUCCUUGGCCUCGGCGGCCUCGCCGUCGGAGGUGUACUUGCCGAGCUGCGCCAGGGAGUUGGCCUUGGCGCGGAGCAGCAGAGCAUCCUGAGCCGCCUUCACGUUCUCUGGCCGGCCGCCCCAUGUCUUGAGGCAGGUGUUCUGAAGAGCCCUGGCGUAGGAGAAGGACACAUGCCACGGGUUGGGGCUCUGGUUCAUGGCGUUCAGGUUCUGGGUCGCCUCAACCUCAGACUGCCCACCGGACAGGAACUGCAUUUUUGUUUGGGUGCAACAGGAAAACAAUUUCAGUCGUCAGAACACCAUCUGAAUUUCUUGGCAAGUAUAUGCAUAUGCAGCAAGAGGAAAAAAUGUUACAGACCAUGAUGCCAGGGACGGCAGGAGGGAUCCUUCUGCGGAGGAGCUUGAGGGUGUAGUCGGCAACUUGCUGAGGGGUGGCCCUGUCCUUGCACUCAGCACCAGGGGUGACCAUGCUGGGCUUGAGGAGGAUGCCCUCGAAUAUCACAUUGUUCUCAGCCAGGUAGUAGAAGGUCUCGGCCCACACCUUCUGUGCAACCUCGAAGGUCCUCUCGAUGCCGUGCUCACCGUCAAGAAGGAUUUCAGGCUCCACAAUUGGCACCAGGCCGUUGUCCU